rnacentral:lncRNA from 1 species
AAAAAACUAUCCUUUUUUACAUGCUCCUUUAGCUUCAUACAACAAUAAGUAGUCUUCUUACACUAGUAUGUUCUUGCAAAAUAUUAAUCUAAUUACUUAAAACUUGGAAGUAAAUUACAAUGUUGAAUCUAAGAAGGAAAACAUCUUUUAUUACAGGUUAUUGCUUUGGGAACAUAAAAGUACUUCUCUUAAUUUGAACCUGACAUAAUUACCACUAAUUAUAGUUUAAAUAAAGUUCUCUCCUGCGGAGAUGCCGAGGAAAUCCAUGCAGGAAGAAUCAGAUUCCACUUCCUAAUUAAAAGGUCAAUGGCUGUUCUGAUCAUUCCCUAUCGCUGAAGGAGGAAAAAGAAUAAUCAUUUUGGCUACCAAAUCUUUCUUAAACUUGUGAGGGUGGCCAAAGAGGACAUGAAGCUCUCCUGGUCAUUCAAAAAGCCUAGAAGUCAAUUCUAACUUCCUUAAUUUUUUAGACUUCUUGAAAACUAGCCAGAAAACUCAUAGACGUACAAAAUUUUCAAAAAACUGACUCCAGCAGAGAGGAAAUACAAUUUCCAUGAAAGGCUUUUGAGAUCCUUGCAAUAUAUGGGUUUGAGCACUCCAGUGUGCAAUUUCUGUGCUGUUUCCAGUUGAUUACUUUGGUAUGUGGGGUUGUCCUGGGAAUGAUUUCAGCUCUUUCUUAUAAGAGAGCAUCUCAUCAUGUUCUCCUAUGUUCUCUAUUUUCUUUUUUCUUAACUGCUCAAGCUAUCCGCAAUCAUUUUUUAAUUUACUGAAAUAAAGGUUUUAAGUGCUAAAUGCAAAUUUUCUGAUUCAAUUAAAUAAAAGCUGCAA